ensembl:lncRNA
AUCUAGUACAGGAACUACUCCAGUGAUGGUUUACAGGGACAUUAUCUCAGCAGAAGGGAAUGGACCACUAUUUGAGUUCAUCUAAACCCACACAGAAACAUUAAGAGCUGAAUCUAAGAACUGAAAGUCUGCCUUGGGCUCUGCUAGAUAACUCCUGGCAUCAGGCUCUGAUUGCUCAUUUGAUGAGAAAAGACUGCAACACUAAUUGACCCCAUCAGGAUUCCUGAGCCUUAAUUUAUUAAUGGAGCUGACUCACUUGUUUCAUGUACACCUCAAUCACAUCCUCUGACAUCUGCUAUUUAUUGAAAAUGGGCUCUUUCCGUCCAGGGAAUUUUACCCUAGACGGCUGAGACUACAUAGCUAUUACACAUUGAAAAGAGACUACUCAAGCAGAUCCAGACUGUUAGGAUGAAGAAACCAUAAUUGGAGACAGUAUGGUUUGCUGCUGUGUUUCUCAACCACAGAGCUAGGUCACCAGAGGUGAAGGUAAAUGUGUCUGUGUUGUAGUUACUCUGGCAGCUCUUUGCAGUACACAAGGCCUUGAAAAUUUUACUAGAUAAUAAAAGAAAGAUAAACAUAGUUCCUUCCAAUCACUCUUCAAAGUUGGGCUUUCUUAACUCAUUAAAUCCCACAGAAAACUUUACCACAAACUUGUCUCCACUCUCACUUUUCCUCCCUGUGUAGCCCUUCUAUUAUAAAUGUGAAAAUACAGUGACAUUUUUGGAUCAUUAGUAGGAGAUAACUAGCUAAUAAGAGGGAAAGAAAAGAUGAAACCCAAUACAUUGCUGUGUAUAAAUUCUGGACACUCUACAGAUCAGUUCUGGAGUCUUUUUCCUACUAUUUGACUUCAGUAAAGUCACUUCAGCUUUCCCUGAGCCUGUUUUUUCUUUGUAAAUAGGAGAAAUGACAUAUUUACUUUUUGAGAUUCAAGUGUAUAAUACAUUUAAUGACAGGUUAGAAGCACUGAUCAGAGCAACCCAGCAAAGACAAGAACUGUGCCAAAAAGAAAUGGUGGAUUAUAACUAGAAGAGUGACAACUUCAAAUAUGUGCUUAACCACAGAUCUUGUUUGACAGAUGUUUUUUUUUUUCAGAAAAUGUUCAUUUUAUGACACUAUUGUAAAUUGAAUAACCUGAAUUUAAGAUACUCACCCAAAAGAAUCCCUAUGACUUUGGCACUUCUUGGUGCAGAACUCUCCUCACAGGUAGUUUUACUAUGAUUGCAUUUUUAAGAUAAUAGAGUAACGUGACAAUGCUUUGAUAUGUGAUGAAGCAGAAUUUACAAGAACUUCUAUGUUGAAUAUUUUCUAAAGAAAGCAGUAUGAAGAACUAUGGCUUAAAGAAGACGCUGACAUAAUCAGCUGUAGCUCUUGAAUCUCAAAAUAACAAUGAACAGAAUCUUUGGGGACAGCAUUCUCUGUGUUGUAAAUGCACUGAGGUCCAGUUUGCUGAACAUUCAGAAUUUGGACAGAAACAUGUUAUUGAAUAAUGCAUGGGUUAGUGACUUAGUGAAGGUUUUCCAUCAGUGCAAGGACUACGUACAGAGUGCUCUUGUGUCCAUCUGGUAGCAAAGUGCCUAAAGAAAUAAAGGAAUCUAGAGAUGAUGAUGUUUCUGUUCCAAAACCUCUUUGCUUUUAUUUUAUUAUUGUUAAAAAAGCAUUCAAAACUGUGGAAAGAAGGUGGAAUACAAGUUCCAAACUUCACAGCUGGAACAUAUAUCUCCCAUGAGGUGAUCUGAAACACUAGGUCUGAAUAUCCCUCUAAUUUGGAUGUUAUUCAGACUUAAAUUCUGUAGCAAGACCCAGACUGAGUUAAACUGAUGUCUAGAUUCAUGUGACAGUAAACAUGUAAACUAAGCUGAGUUCGAAGUCCAGGUCAGAAAAUUUCCACAGUCCCAACAUAAGCAACUCCUUCACUUUGAGAAACUCUGAUGGGUAUUACGUACUGCUGAAGUACAGAGAGAUAAAAGAAUCAUGAUUAGGGUCAACAGGCCUAUUCCUGAUUUUAAGAAAAAGGCUUUAGAAGGAGUGCAGAGAAGGCAAGCCCCAAAGAAAAUAAUUAGUCAAGCAAAAACAUUUAUACUGGAUUGUGGGAACAACCUGAAAUGAUUUUCCCUUUGGGACUUC